rnacentral:rRNA from 1 species
GACAGAGGUGCCGAGCGUUAGGCGGAAUCACUGGGCUUAAAGCGUGUGUAGGCGGACCUGUAGGUACCUUGUGAAAUCCCACGGCUCAACCGUGGAACUGCUGGGUAUACUGCGGGUCUUGAGCCACCUAGGGGCGAGCGGAACAAGUGGUGGAGCGGUGAAAUGCGUAGAUAUCACUUGGAACGCCAAUGGUGAAAACAGCUCGCUGGGGGUGUGCUGACGCUGAGACACGAAAGCCAGGGGAGCAAACGGG